GGGUCAAUGGUGAAGUGGCGAUCAUGCUCCAUUAGGGUUGGUGUGGUCCCGGGUUCGAUUCCCGGUUGACCCC